UUAACUGAUUGGUCAGUAGCUGAUGAGUUCAUUCCCGUUGGGGGAGGUUAUGGUCAACGCGAAACCCAAACAAACCAAAAACGCUUCAAGCAGAAGCCAGAAAGAAUCCUGACCGUCUGAAGUGAGUGUCAAAACAAUGGGAUCUGCAAUCUCUCUGUCAGAGGCCAACAGUGCUUUCUCUCUGGCUUUGCUCAAACAGCUGAGCAACAACAACAAGACGGGAAACAUCUUUUUCUCCCCGUUCAGCAUCUCUUCAGCCCUGGCUAUGGUGAUGCUGGGGGCCAGAGGCAACACAGCCACACAGAUGUCAGAGUGCUUGCAAACCGAGGAUUGUUGGGGUGAUGUUCACAGCAGCUUUGCCCAACUUCUCACUGUACUCAACAGGACAGAUGCUCCAUUUACCUUCAGUGUUGCUAACAGACUGUACAGAGAGAAGUCCUGCCCCUUUACUCAGGAAUUCUUAAUACAAAGCAAGAAACAUUACAGCGCAGAGCUGGAGUCUGUGGACUUCAAGACCAGGUCUGAAGAAGUCAGGAUUGAUGUCAACAACUGGGUGCAGCAACAAACACCAGGUAACAUCACAGAGGUGGUGGAUGAAGAGGAUUUGAAUGAACUGACCAGGCUGGUGUUGUUCACUGCCACCCACUUCAGAGGCAGCUGGAUUAAAGAUUUCUCGUGGUCUGAAACUUAUUAUGCUCAAUUUUGGCUCAAGAAGAAUGACUCAAAGCCUGUGAAGAUGAUGAAACAGGAAGAGAACUUCAUGUGUACCUUCAUCGAAGAAGCAAACUGCAAAAUUCUAGAGAUGCCUUACAGUGGGGAGGAAGUGAGCAUGCUCAUCUUUUUACCUGCAGAGAUCGAGGAUGAUACAACAGGACUGGAGAAGCUGGAGAAGGAGCUGACCUACGAGAAAUUUGUGGCUUGGACUCAUCCAGGCAAGAUGCAAACAUGUUACAUUGAUGUGAGGCUGCCUCGAUUUACACUGGAGGAGACGUAUGACCUGAACACAGUCCUGAGCAGCAUGAGCAUGGUGGACGCUUUUGAUCACACAAAGUGUGACUUCUCUGGCAUGUCUGGGCACAAAGAUCUGGUACUUUCAAAAGUCAUCCACAAGGCUUUUGUGAAGGUCCACGAGAAGGCAACUGAGGCUACUUUUAAAACAAUGGAUUGGCUUGAGCUUCAGUCGGCCAAAAUAAGGUGGGGCAAUUUUGAUUUUAAAUCCUUCAUCGCAGACCACCCCUUCCUCUUCUUCAUCAGACAUAACCCCACCAUGAACAUCCUGUUUGCUGGUCGGUUCUGCUGCCCUGUGUGAGCUCUGUGUCCUUUAGAGCAGCUCAGUACCAGAAGUCUUUAGUGUUUAGUUGGAGAACCUUUCAAAAUCACUGCACAACAGCGCUGUAUCCAUAUUAAUAUACAGCUCUCUACUAUCAGUUUUUUGUGUUUUGUAUCUCAUAUUUUGUAUUUUUCUAUUUUCAAAACUUUCUCAUCUUUAAUGUUAUCUGUUCAGAUGUUUAUACCAUACUCUUAGGAUGUCCCAUCUUCUGAUCAGAAAUUUAUCAAAGACUGUUUAGUGGCUGAAAUGAGACAAACUGCAUGAUGUAUAAUUUACGUUUGAUCUUAAUUUCUCAUUGACUUCACACUGGCCGGUUCGGGACAAUCAGCACAUACAAUGCUCAGUUCUGCACUAGAUGGUGACCAGGAGAUGGUAUCUGUCCAUUCUUAUCUCAUUGUGGCAGGUUAUGAA